rnacentral:rRNA from 1 species
AACGUAGGAGACAAACGUUAUCCGGAGUUACUGGGCGUAAAGGGCGUGUAGGUGGUUACGUAAGUCUGGCGUGAAAUAUCUCGGCUUAACUGAGGCAGGUCGUCGGAUACUGCGAGACUAGAGGACGGUAGAGGCGUGUGGAAUUCCGGGUGUAGUGGUGAAAUGCGUAGAGAUCCGGAGGAACACCAGUGGCGAAGGCGACACGCUGGGCCGUACCUGACACUGAUGCGCGACAGCAUGGGGAGCAAACAGG